UGGGGAAUAUUGCACAAUGGGCGAAAGCCUGAUGCAGCGACGCCGCGUGAGGGAUGACGGCCUUCGGGUUGUAAACCUCUUUCAGCAGGGAAGAAGCGAAAGUGACGGUACCUGCAGAAGAAGCGCCGGCUAACUACGUGCCAGCAGCCGCGGUAAUACGUAGGGCGCAAGCGUUGUCCGGAAUUAUUGGGCGUAAAGAGCUCGUAGGCGGUUAGUCGCGUCUGCUGUGAAAACUCGAGGCUCAACCUCGGGCUUGCAGUGGGUACGGGCUGACUAGAGUGCGGUAGGGGUGACUGGAAUUCCUGGUGUAGCGGUGGAAUGCGCAGAUAUCAGGAGGAGCACCGAUGGCGAAGGCAGGUCACUGGGCCGCAACUGACGCUGAGGAGCGAAAGCAUGGGGAGCGAACAGGAUUAGAUACCCUGGUAGUCCAUGCCGUAAACGUUGGGCACUAGGUGUGGGUCCAUUCCACGGAUUCCGUGCCGCAGCAAACGCAUUAAGUGCCCCGCCUGGGGAGUACGGCCGCAAGGCUAAAACUCAAAGGAAUUGACGGGGUCAUAGCUGUUUCCU
rnacentral:rRNA from 1 species